rnacentral:rRNA from 1 species
CCGGCGCACGGGUGAGUAACACGUAUCCAACCUGCCGUCUACUCUUGGCCAGCCUUCUGAAAGGAAGAUUAAUCCAGGAUGGGAUCAUGAGUUCACAUGUCCGCAUGAUUAAAGGUAUUUUCCGGUAGACGAUGGGGAUGCGUUCCAUAGAUAGUAGGCGGGGUAACGGCCCACCUAGUCAACGAUGGAUAGGGGUUCUGAGAGGAAGGUCCCCCACAUUGGAACUGAGACACGGUCCAA